GAGAAAAAGAAGGCUUAAUUUAAAUGUAUAUUUUAAUUCAUGUCCCCAUCUUAUUUUUAUUCUGAAGUAUCGAUUAAUUUAAGUAAGCCGCCAGGUGGGCCACUUGUCGUGCAGUAGAAAACAGCUGAUGUCUCAAUUAAGUGUCUUGGCCGAAACAGAAAGUCGCCAUUGUUCAUUUUCAUGGCGUGUAUAGCCACUGAUAACUCGUUUCUUACUGUGCUUUAUUGAUGGGAAUUCUCAUCUUGUGACUCCCUAUUUCUUAUCUGAUUCUCUGAGAUUAGGCUGGAUUAGGCCCUAGAUUUGAUUUCGUGUCAUUUGUGUCUACGAUUGCCUUAUUGACCGGCUCCUAAUUGUGGAUGCUAGGCAAUUUGUGCUCUGUCCAAUUUAUUGACGAAUAAACCCGUGAUUAUCUGAGAAGCAAUCGAUAGGCCUACGCCUCCCUCUUCGACCGUCUCACUCUCUCGCUGAAACA
rnacentral:lncRNA from 1 species